UGUGAAACUCAAAGGAAUUGACGGGGGCCCGCACAAGCGGUGGAGUAUGUGGUUUAACUCGAAGCAACGCGAAGAACCUUACCAGGCCUUGACAUGGAUAUAAAUGUUCUAGAGAUAGAAAGAUAGCUAUAUAUCACACAGGUGGUGCAUGGUUGUCGUCAGCUCGUGUCGUGAGAUGUUGGGUUAAGUCCCGCAACGAGCGCAACCCUUGUCUUCUGUUACCAGCAUUAGGUUGGGGACUCAGGAGAGACUGCCGGUGACAAACCGGAGGAAGGUGGGGAUGACGUCAAAUCAUCAUGCCCCUUAUGGCCUGGGCUACACACGUACUGCAAUGGCGCCUACAAAGAGCAGCGACACCGCGAGGUGGAGCGAAUCUCAUAAAGGGCGUCUCAGUUCGGAUUGAAGUCUGCAACUCGACUUCAUGAAGUCGGAAUCGCUAGUAAUCGCAGAUCAGCAUGCUGCGGUGAAUACGUUCUCGGGCCUUGUACACACCGCCCGUC
rnacentral:rRNA from 1 species